rnacentral:rRNA from 1 species
UGUGAUGACUGCUUACAAUCGCCCUCGGGCAAUUUUUGACUCUGACCUCAAAUCAGGUAGGACUACCCGCUGAACUUAAGCAUAUCAAUAAGCGGAGGAAAAGAAACUAACAAGGAUUCCCCUAGUAGCGGCGAGCGAAGCGGGAAGAGCUCAAAUUUGAAAGCUGGCGUCCUUCGGGCGUCCGCAUUGUAAUCUAUAGAGGCGUUUUCUGUGCUGGACCGUGUCCAAGUCCCUUGGAACAGGGUAUCAAAGAGGGUGACAAUCCCGUACUUGACACGACAACCAGUGCUCUGUGAUACGUCUUCUACGAGUCGAGUUGUUUGGGAAUGCAGCUCAAAAUGGGUGGUGAAUUCCAUCUAAAGCUAAAUAUUGGCGAGAGACCGAUAGCGAACAAGUACCGUGAGGGAAAGAUGAAAAGCACUUUGGAAAGAGAGUUAAACAGUAUGUGAAAUUGUUGAAAGGGAAACGAUGGAGGUCAGUCGUGUCUGUGGGAUUCAGCCGUCUCUGGCGGUGUACUUCCCACAGACGGGUCAACAUCAGUUUUGGUCGGCGGAUAAAGGCAGGAGGAAGGUGGCACCCCCGGGUGUGUUAUAGCCUCUUGUUGCAUACGCUGGCCGAGACUGAGGAAUGCAGCUCGCCUUUAUGGCCGGGGUUCGCCCACGU